rnacentral:tRNA from 1 species
GCGCCUGUAGCUCAACUGGAUAGAGCGUUAGCCUCCGAAGCUAAAGGUUCCGCGUUCAA